AGCAACUGAUCCGAACAUUAUUGGUCCCAAUCCUCAAUCCUUCUUAACAGCCCUUUGAGCUGCUCUUUCACUACCAGAGGGGAACAUCAGUACUGUGGAUCUGACUAAUGCAUCUCAUUUCUUUGGCUUGGGUAUGCUCCAACCUAGAGAGGAUUUGUGAGUUGGUCAGAUAUUUUUUCCCCCCUUCACCACUGGAGAGGCAUUCCCAAUCCAGAUCAGACUUGUGGUCCAUCUAGCCAAGUAUUCCGCCUCUGACAGUGGCCAGCACCAGAUGUUUCGGCGGAAGGUGUGAGAACUCCACAAUACGUGGCGAUGAGAUAACCUGCCCCCAGGGAAAGUUUCUUUCCAGCUUCUGCCAAUGGGAGAUUCCUUCUCUUGAGAGCAGCAGUGCUACCCUGAAGUGCUAGGCAGGUGCAAAAUGGCUGCAGAUUGUAAACCUGUGAACAGGAAAACUGGGAGUAAGGCUGUGGCAUAUGGAGCUUUGAGACAGAGAGUUUGCAUGGUUACUGCGCCUUAAAAUUUGGAUCAUUCUGGACUGGCAGGGCUCAAAAGACAAGUCAGAAGGCAACUGUUGCAGCUGGACUUGGUUGGAGGCUGGACUCAAGAAUGACAUGACUGUGGCUAUAGCUGGCAUUUGAAUGCAGUUUUGGGAAAUUCACUGAGACAACCUCAGAUGAAACCUUUAGCAAGAGGAAUGAUAAAUAUUCGAAUGAGAUCUCAAUGAAUUUCUAAUAUCCGUGAAUGCAGCCAUAUGGGAUAUUACAAGAAGCCAGCAGAUAAGAACGCUUUUUGAAUUCUUAUGUUGGCAUACAGUGGCAUUUGAUGUUUGAGCAGAUUUGGUUACAUUUGUACCAAUAAAUACUAAACACAGGAUGAUAUCAUUUCAUUUCCAGAAAGGAAUACCCAGUACCAGAAUAUCUCACUCAAGCAAACUAACGUCCAGUGUAAUUUCAGAACUGUGAACUAAGUGUAAAACAGGGACCGGGAAUCUUUGUGGGGAUGUAGAAAACUUGUGUUUGUUGGGUUCAAAGUUGAAAUAUGUGCAAGAGCUGCUGUAUAUUUUUCACUUGUGAGACCCAGAUGGUGGCUUUUUUAAUAAUUCAGAAGACGUUAUUAAAUAUAUCAAGAAAAAUGUAGGAGAGCAACGCUGAAAGAGACCAGGACAUGCAUGAGGCUUGUUUUCUGGAGAGUUUAACUCAAGUCUGGGAGCUUAUAGAGGGGGGAUUUUCCAAACACUGCAAAUACAACUGCAGACUAACACGGCUGCUACUCUGAAAUCUGCAAAUACAAAGUGGAUCGCUCAUGCUCUGCUCUGAGUGUCCUGCAGACAAAGCUCCCAAUCCUGCAAACUGCAGGGAGCUCCAGGCAUUGAGGAUAGCAAACACACACACUAUUGAGGGUUCUGCCCUCUUCUUAAAGUCACAGUUCCCAUUUCUAUUCGGGGCACAUGGUUAACAAUGCAUCCACUAGCAAAAUACAAUGAGUACAAGUACCACAAUAAAACAAAUAUUUAAAAAACAUAAACAUUCACUUCUGAAUAUUUUCAGAUAGCAGUUAUUCCAGGCUUGUCACAUGUACAACAAGAUGUUGGUCAGAUGAAUCUGUAACUUACAAAUGUUUUACAGGUAUCCUAGUAGAAUAUGCAAUACUACUCCUAAUUACUUAUCAAUGUGGAGGUAAUCUAGGGACAUUUUAAAGAAGUUAAGGGGCCCAUAUCUGAAUUUAAAUGUGCUAUUGUUUAUAUUAUAAAUAUGUUAGUCUAUUUUAAUGUUUCUGCUACAGCUCCUUGUAAUGUUUUCAUCUGAGUCCCCAGCAUAUAUGGCUGUUGUGUUAUAUUUCAAUAUAAGUAGGUUUUUAUCUGAUGCAUUUUAUGUAUUAAGAAAAUAAACAUUUUAAA